CUACUACUCCCUUCAUUCGGAAUUACUUAUCAUAAAAAUGAAUGUAUCUACAACUAAAAUAUAUCUAGAUACAUUUAUUUUUUGGACGAGUAAUUCCGAAUGGAGGGAGUAUUUC
rnacentral:pre_miRNA from 1 species